rfam:Togninia minima TCRPA7 unplaced genomic scaffold PA7_03_scaffold_162, whole genome shotgun sequence.
GCCUUGAUGGCGCAAUGGUAACGCGCGACACUAGUAAUGUCGAGAUUCACGGUUCGAUUCCGUGUCAAGGCA